UACGGGGGGGGCAAGCGUUGUUCGGAAUUACUGGGCGUAAAGGGCUCGUAGGCGGCCAACUAAGUCAGACGUGAAAUCCCUCGGCUUAACCGGGGAACUGCGUCUGAUACUGGAUGGCUGGAGAUUGGGAGAGGGAUGCGGAAUUCCAGGUGUAGCGGUGAAAUGCGUAGAUAUCUGGAGGAACACCGGUGGCGAAGGCGGCAUCCUGGACCAACACUGACGCUGAGGAGCGAAAGCCAGGGGAGCGAACAGG
rnacentral:rRNA from 1 species